AUGGGAAAAGGGGCUGUACCGUUCUCAUCAACGUGAAGUUCAGAACGAUCACAGAUAUCGACUAAAUCCAACCUUGACUUCAAAUUAUCCUUCAUUUUACCUUGGAUGUUAAGGACUGUGUUCAUCAGAUUGUCGAAGAAGUUCUUCUCAAUAUGCAUGACAUCUAAAUUAUGCCGCAAUAGAUGACUCUCCCAAUAUGGCAGAUCCCAGAAAAUACUCUUUUUGUGCCAGUUAUGUAGCUCUCCAACCGCACUGACUCGAAUGUUUUCAUGUCCACCUACAUCUGGCGUCCUUUCUGCAUCAAAAUACCUAAACUGCUUCAACAAAUCUUUCCCACUAACUUCCUUAGGUGGACCAUCAAACACCUGCUUGUUCUUCGUAAACGAAGUCUUACUCCUGCGGUAUGGAUGAUCAGGUGGUAGAAAUCGU
rnacentral:lncRNA from 1 species